CUAGCGGUUGGCGGGGAGGGGGCCGCGCCGGCGGCCCCAGACUCGCGCCUGGAGACCCGGGCGGGCUUGGGGCGGGGCCCGCGGAGGUGGCGGAGGCCCCGGGCCGGCGCCCGCCCCCGAUGCGGGGACCUGGGACGUGGCGGACAGUUUACAGGAAAUGAAGACGUACGAGGACCCAGAUGAAUGGUGCCACACGGAAGCAGUGACACAGAACCAGAAGGCGGGAAGCCCUGCAGGAGGAGGGCCCAGGGUCUCCGGCUGUGUUCUACUCCCGAUCGGCCUUUUUCCAGAUGGAGAGGCGGAAGGGCCGUACGAGUCAGAUUCAGUCGGUGAUCGUGGAUUGCACACUGUUCUGGAUAAACCCGCUAUAAAAAAGAUUUGAGGGUCCCGUGAGAAAAUUCGACUGUCAUUUGAAUAUUAGAUGAAAUGGAACUUUACUGCAAUAGAAAAGUGGGAAAAGCUGGCUGCAGAUAAAAUGUAAUUUCUCCUUUUAGUAACAAGAAGGCCAUUUAUUAAGGGACAGCUAGGUUACCCCGCCCUCUGGCUGUUGAGAACGACGCCCUGGGACACCUGGAGCAUGAGGAUCUGUUCAGUCCCUGCUUUCAAUUCCUUCGGUGACGUAUCCA